rnacentral:lncRNA from 1 species
GUAAUGGUGACUGAUGAUCAAGAGAUUACAUACUGAUUGAUCUUCAGUCAUGUCUGCAUGUCUCUGUCUGUCUCUCUGUCUGCAUGUCUCUGUCUCUCUGGCUGCAUGUCUCUGUCUCUCUGGCUGCAUGUCUCUGUCUGUCUCUCUGUCUGCAUGUCUCUGUCUGCAUGUCUCUGUCUCUCUGGCUGCAUGUCUCUAUCUCUCUGGCUGCAUGUCUCUGUCUGCAUGUCUCUGUCUGUCUCUCUGGCUGCAUGUCUCUCUCUCUCUGUCUGCAUGUCUCUGUCUCUCUGUCUGCAUGUCUCUGUCUCUCUGGCUGCAUGUCUCUGUCUGUCUCUCUGUCUGCAUGUCUCUGGCUGCAUGUCUCUGUCUCUCUGUCUGCAUGUCUCUGUCUGUCUCUCUGGCUGCAUGUUUCUGUCUCUCUGUCUGCAUGUCUCUGUCUCUCUGUCUGUAUGUCUCUGUUUGUCUCUCUGUCUGCAUGUCUCUGUCUCUCUGUCUGUAUGUCUCUGUUUGACUCUCUGUCUGCAUGUCUCUGUUUGUCUCUCUGUCUGCAUGUCUCUCUCUCUCUGUCUGUAUGUCUCUGUCUCUCUGGCUGCAUGUCUCUGUUUGUCUCUCUGUCUGCAUGUCUCUCUCUCUCUGUCUGUAUGUCUCUGUCUGUCUCUCUGGCUGCAUGUCUCUGUUUGUCUCUGUCUGUAUGUCUCUGUGUCUCUGUCUGCAUGUCUCUGUCUCUCUGUCUCUGCAUGUCUGUCUGUGUGUUUUUGUCUAUUCAUCUCCAUUUCUGUCUGUGUUUGUCUUUUUUCAGUCUGUCACUGUAUGUCUCUGUCUCUCUGCCUGUCUGUCUGUAUAUGCCUGUCUGUCAAUGCUUGUCCAUAUCUGUCUGUUUUCUGUCUGUGUUUGUCUGUCAUAGGUCUGUGUCUCUCUUUGUCAGUCGGUCUUUGUUGUCUGUCUGUCUGUCUCUGUCUGCCUCGUGGCCCUCCAUGUUCUUGCUACAGCUCUUUUGCUCGUUAUUUCCUGUGAAUCUGUAAACUAUACCAUAUUCAAAGCAGCAUCUCAACCCCACUGGACGCUAAAAAUUGCUUGCACUG